UAAGGAAUAUUGGACAAUGGAGGCAACUCUGAUCCAGCCAUGCCGCGUGAAGGAAUAAGGCCCUAUGGGUUGUAAACUUCUUUUAGACGGGACAAAACCCCUUUACGUGUAAAGGGUUGAUGGUACUGUCAGAAUAAGCAUCGGCUAACUUCGUGCCAGCAGCCGCGGUAAUACGAAGGAUGCAAGCGUUAUCCGGAAUUAUUGGGUUUAAAGGGUGCGUAGGCGGACUAAUAAGUCAGUGGUGAAAGCCUGCAGCUUAAAUGCAGAAUUGCCAUUGAUACUGUUAGGCUUGAGUACAGUUGAGGUAGGCGGAAUGUGUCAUGUAGCGGUGAAAUGCUUAGAUAUGACACAGAACACCGAUUGCGAAGGCAGCUUGCUAAGCUGUAACUGACGCUGAGGCACGAAAGCGUGGGGAUCAAACA
rnacentral:rRNA from 1 species